GUGUUUAGAUGGUUUGGGAGGUUGCGCGAGUAUUGGUCUGCCAGCAACCUCCGCAACUAUUUAGACUCCUACACCCUAGCCGAACGUGGGGGAAUGCCAAGGACGGACAGGAUUGUCACCACCUGCCGCCAUCCCCUCAACCGUGGACUAGGACAAUGCAUUUACCUGGCCUUUACCCCCAAGCACCAUGCUUACAUGCAAAGAACCUACUCGGACUCCCCUGGGUCCUCGACCCUACGGAUCGACAGGUAAGAAGCCCGAGCCUACUCAAAAGAGCAUGAUAAACCCCC
rnacentral:lncRNA from 1 species